rnacentral:sRNA from 1 species
GAAUAAAAUAUAAAUGUAUUAGAGAAUGAUACAAUUUGCAAAACUUUUAUAUAUAAAAAAUAAUUCUUAAAUUUUAAAAAUUACUACUAAAAAAAAAAAUCACGGGACGGGUAAAACAAUUACAGAACGGGUUUUAUUUUGGAAUUGGGUUAUAUGGUGGAUGUAUUUGAAUCAAUAUUUAUAAAAUUUUAAAAUUUUA